CCUACGGGAGGCAGCAGUGGGGAAUAUUGCACAAUGGGGGAAACCCUGAACCAGCCACGUCGCGUGAGGGAAGAAGGAUCUAGGGAUUGUAAACUUCAUUUGUAGGGGAGAAAAGGACGGUACCUGAUUAAGAAGCCCCGGCUAACUACGAGCCAGCAGCCGCGGUAAAACGUCGGGAGCCAGCGUUAUCCGGAUUUAGUGGGCGUAAAGGGGGCGUAGUCUGGAGUAAAAGUCUGGAGUGAAAUGCCGGGGCUUAACCCCAGAACUGCUGUUGAAACUGUGCAGCUAGAGUGCACGAGAGGUAAGUGGAAUGCGUGGUGUAGCGGUGAAAUGCAUAGAUAUUACGCAGAACUCCAAUGGCGAAGGCAGCUUACUGGAGUGUAACUGACGUUGAGGCACGAAAGCGUGGGGAGCAAACAGGAUUAGAUACCCCUGUAGUC
rnacentral:rRNA from 1 species